AGCUCUGAACGCUGCCCUGUACCAAUUAAUCUGCCGAAAGAAAUCACUCUCUAUUCAGCUGGAUUUAUUUUCUAUUUUUAAAUUAUGUAUUUAAUGGAUACAGUUUUUAUCUUCAUUACUUAAGAAAUAACUGGACUUGAACAACUUAGCACUUUAGACACCCUGUACAUAUUAACACGCGGAUGUACGGUGCUUCCGCUGGAAUACGAUAGUAGGCUAGAUUCUUUUUUGCACGUAGACAGACUGGUACCCAAGUACUUUCAUAGGAUUUUAAUGGAUAUUCAACUUUCUUCUGCUCGUUUUCUAUGCAACAUUUCUUAACAAAUUUGUGUUAAGUUACAAGUGUUAUUUCUUACAAAAUGCCAAUUGUAAUUCUGAUCUCAAAAAUCCGCGAUGACAAUAAUUUACAUUUUUAUCUUAUCGCCUAAAUAAUUCAUGGCCGCGUUUUGUUUGCCGUUGAAAGUUUUGCAAAAAUCUUGUUUAGAGUGAAAAUCAAAUUUAAGCCCGAUGCCUCGAGUUCUUCUCCCGUUUCCUUACCGAUAAUUCGUCCUCUUAUCAGCGGCAGAUAAGCGAACGAGAAAAGUAUUGGAUUGCGUGUGCGUACUUUGUUAUGAUUUACGAGCGUUCGUCGAACGUCAGAAAACGCGAUGACCGCGUGGCGUUCGCCUCUGAAAAUAAUCGAGAUCUCGAACGUCAGCGAUGAGUCGUCGCGUUAUAUCGAUCCUGACCCGAUUACCACUUCGAUGCUCGAUCGAACUUCGAUCAUCGUAUUAAUUAAACUUUCCAUUUUCUCGCCUUCUUACAACUUCAUUUUCAUGCAAAUGAUAAUUAGAUUCUUCUUUAACAUAUUUUUUUUUUUUUUUUUUUCUUGCCGAUCAAUUUGCGACGAGAUUUUGCGAGUCUGUUUCCAUGGAGAGACAGGAAUCGCGAGCAAAGCGACCUUGACUGCUAUUCCAUCGAUUGCAUAAUCUUUUUCAACGGCCGUAGAAACGGUACACGCUGUAGUACAGUACUAAUCACGGCUCCGAUAAGUCCGAUAGAUCAUCGGUGCUUCGUUAGAUAAUCGUUAUUAAUUAGUCGAUAGUUGGUGAUAAUACAAAGUCUUUAGAAGGCGGGUUAUCGUAUGCGUCAUACGCUAUCUAUGUAGGGUAAGCACCGACGCACCGGGUGCGUCAUGUACUUAUCCACGUAGGGAAAUCUCGAGCGUGAAAUUUUUUUGCAGAUCCAUAAAACAUCGAGUAAUUCCACGAUGUAUCGUGCAUGCGCGAACUUCUGACAAGCCGUUAUCCGAGGAGAGACCUUGCGGUUCCGAUUGAACACACGUAGCGCACGUGUCACCGAGUUGAACAGAUUUCGAUCGUUUCCGAAUACGAGUUGUUCGCCGAUUCGUCAUUAUCUCACACGCGUGACCGCGUGACUGCUUUUCCAUUUCACAUCCCGUCGAGAUAAUCGCGUUCUAACCAUGGAAAUAACCUCCGUACCGUCUCGAGAUGUUAGAAAUUGAUUUUCAAUUAGUCAAAAGUUUCCAUUAAAAGUUUCCGGUGUUGGAAACGAGAGAUAGCGACAGGCAACCUGUCGAUUCAAUUACGUAGAACGCGAAAUUAUCUGAACGGUCGGUUGUUGCUGCCUCGUUAUUACAGCUAUCGAUGCGAGCUUAUAAAGAAUAACGCGGUGUUGCGUGACUCGUGAUCGUGUUUCCACGUUAACGAUCGCUCCUUGGAUCAUUCGUCACGAUCCAAGGAUUUACGGCUAACUCGAUCGGCAUCGAUCCUGCGAUCGAGCAGCCGCGUCGAAUGGCUCGGUUCGAUGUCCUCGAUUAAAUCUUCGAUGCCGAGCAACAUGUAUUUUUAAAUUCGUCCACGAUUUACGAGCCACCGCUGCCACUCGAGCUCGAUACACUUUUUCUUUUCAUCUUUGUUUUUCACCUUCGAAAAUGGGUUAACGACUUGGAAAUAUACGUGCCCCAGAAAGUUUGAAAACUUUUCCUCUAUAACGUUCGAUAAUUAAUUGAUUCGAUCAGAAGUUUGUCAAGGGUGUAAUUGUCGGCAGAGAAAAUUUUGUCCUUUCUAUUUCUUGCUCUUUGGAAGAUUUUCAGUUCGAAGUGAAUUUAAUUUUAGCGUCUAAGAUUUGUGUUUAUUAAAUUUUGAAUGUUGAAGAGUUAUUCGUGGUUAUUGAAAGGGAAGCGUAGUAAUGUUUCUAGACUUCCUAUCGCCCAAGGAAGCCAGCUUUUCCCUGAUGUCGGGGUCGUAAGCGGUCAUAAAAGGGGACACGCGUUUAUCUCGAUCCCUAACGGAGAUUAGUUUAAUCUCGAGGGAGUGAACGUCCGCGGUUUUGCGCUUCCUUGGAAAAAAUUGCACCCGGGGAAGACGGUUAUCGUAAUUGGAGCGAGGGUCAGGAAUAUGAGAGUUCAGAAAAUCAGAACAAUCAAUGUUAUUCAAAGUAACUUCCGGCAACUUCCACUUUAAAAAUGUAAUACUUUUCUAUUUCACUUUAUAUCAAAUCGAGAUUUUCAAUAUCCUCAAAAUUAAAAGAAAAUUAAUGGCGGUUGAAGUUCAGAAUAGCGCGUGUUAGAGGAUUUUGAUAAAAGCAGGACAUCGAACUCCAGAGCAGAGUGUCGCGAAAACUCACGAAAAGGGGAGCAGUCAGGGUAUUUUCGUUUCAACCGACCGGAAGACAACUCUCUCGGAUCAUCUGUCUCUCUUCCAACUUAAUUUCCCUCUCUUUCUCUCUCUCGUUCUCUUGUUUGUUUCUUUAAUUCCUUCCCUCCCAUAUAUAUUCGUCGCCAUUAUUCAGCUCGUUCUCUUUAUCUAUUUUUUUCAAAAUUAUUUUUCCUAUUUUUCUUUUCGUCACCACGAUUGGGUAAGCGGUAUGUCUGCUGAUACUAGCUCCAACGUGGGUCGGCAAUCGAACCAGUCGACUUCCUUAGCUGUUACGUUGGAUUUCGUAAUUUUCUGGUUUAUCUUUUUAACUGGCAAAGAUAAUUCUGCGACUCGACAAGCGUGCUUUUAGUGGAUCGCGAGCCGACUCGUGGGAAGCCUCGCAAAGCCUUUACUCAUCAGUGUUUCUUCAGAAAGUGUCUUUAGUUGAUUUCGUGCAAUCAAAUCGGUGGAUUAAUUAUUUCACAAUUUUUUUGAUAAAAAAGUUUGUACCCCAACGGCGGGCCGCCGCAGGUCUAUAAAUGUAGGGCGAGAGACGCAGCAGUGGUCAUUCUCCCCUGGGAUGCCUACGGGGAACGAUGGGAAGCAGGGGCUUCGCCAUUUUUCCUGGGAAAAUUAUAGAAAUUAUUGCUCACGUAUUACCAAGUAUUUCUUAUGCGAAGAGGUUAAGUCAGAAAUUCGUAGAACACAAUCACGUAUAAAAUAACGCGAUAAAACGAUGCUGUUUCCGCAACGUCACGCGAACAGCAUUCAUUAACUGAAAUUUUAUGCGUGUCAAUGGUCGCACACACAUAAUAGUCUCCCCUCUAAAAUUCUUCACCGUUCAGAUAACUUGUAUUCAAAAGUUGAUCAUUUAAAAAAAUUAUACGAUCACGAUUGUAUACUUUAUCCUUUUCAAAUCAUUCGAUAAUACUUUGUAAUAUCUUUAAUUGUUUAUUCUAAUAGAGAAACACGUGAUAUCGUGACAGAAAGAUAUUUUCUUUUCACGACAAAAUAUUCCAACGCGAUGAGCGUUCAAAUAUUAAACACUCUACUAUACUUGCAAAUCGAUUACUUGCGUAAUCACUGAUAAAUAAUUCAAACAAUCGCAUCUCGUGUAUUUAAUUAUCGUAAUAAUUUGUACGAGUUAUCGAUAUCGAUUCGGUCAUCGAUUCUCAGAAUUUUUGGAGAUUCGAAAUUAGAAGAAAUUCAAAUUACCAUAUUUAUUAAUAAUAAAAAUCAAAAUUUGAAUCUUAAUGUUUACAUAUAAAAUUUUUUAAAAUUGUAAGAUUGUUUGUAUCACUCCUAUCGAUGCUUAUCGCUCAAGUGCAUGCAACAGAUUUUUUUUUCCAUUGUUCUUUAAGUCUCCUUCGUUCGAAAGACCGUAGUCGUCACUAAAAGCGAGAAAGACGUCUAUUUAACUACAUAGAGCGCGCGAAAUCGGUGUUUGCUAAUCAAGAAUGGCUGAAUGACGAAUUCGCGACGCAGACGCUCGCGCCGCGCCGCCUCUGCGGCAAGUGCAACGAGGAGUGCGCUCGUUCGACGAUACACUAGCCAGUGCUCGUGCAACAUUUGCGGGGAUAAGUGUCGGUGUACAGUGGAAAUUGUGUGUCGUUCAAAACUUUAGCCGGAAAGCGUCUCUAAGAUUUCAAACAAAUUCUGGGUCGAAAAUUUAAAAUUGCAAUUUUCUUCGAUAAAAACGGAAGGAAAAUCAAAUUCCCUAGUGACUGUUAGUGACAGUGACUAUUUGUUUUGAAUGUGUCUCCGUAGAAAAUAGUGAUUUUUUUGUGUAAACCUUUUCAAUAAACAUCGAUUGUGAUUGUAUCCGUUUGCACUGACAAUGACAUCUCUGAUGUGUCAGAGUUAGUUACGCUUAUUUUGUGAAUCAGCCUCUCUCAGAUUUCUCUCGAUUCUCAU